UACGUAGGUGGCGAGCGUUGUCCGGAUUUACUGGGCGUAAAGGGAGCGUAGGCGGACUUUUAAGUGAGAUGUGAAAUACCCGGGCUCAACUUGGGUGCUGCAUUUCAAACUGGAAGUCUAGAGUGCAGUAGAGGAGAAUGGAAUUCCUAGUGUAGCGGUGAAAUGCGUAGAGAUUAGGAAGAACACCAGUGGCGAAGGCGAUUCUCUGGACUGUAACUGACGCUGAGGCACGAAAGCGUGGGGAGCAAACAGGAUUAGAUACCCGCGUA
rnacentral:rRNA from 1 species